rnacentral:lncRNA from 1 species
CAGCGGUCGGCACAGCUCAAUCACCUGCCAGGGAACAGAAACUUCUAAGGAAGGAAGGAAACAUGCCCUGUGAUGAUGGAACAAAGAUUCCUAUCUGCCCUGUGGUUGGUUCUCCCAUUCAUCAUGGGUGUACAAGAAGCAAGGAACUGCUUAGCACAGGAAGUUUCCACCAGUGGAGUGCUGAACUGCUGUGGCCAGUGCGGUCAUCUUUAUCACGUUGACACAGAAAUCAGCCUUCUUAGCAGCCUAAUUCUACCUGCAGUGAAGUCCAAGAAAAUGUCCUGAUACUUUCAAGACACUGAAAUCUGUGUAACUGCUGGCAACUGGAGCCUGGUGUUUCUCCUUCCUUUCUGCCAGCUCGAGGGGAAGCAGCUCUACUUCUGGAUUUUCUGACCUCUUACCUAGAAUGUCUUCAUAGACGUUCUCCUCCGAUAAAGUGCGUGUGAGUCCCAAUUUGGUCUGUGCAUACCAGUCCACCCUGCUGUUCUCUGAGGAAGACUGUAGUAAGUCCUCGAACUCAUAGGACUUUCUGGGUUGUGCACCGUGGAGAGAAACAAAGAGAGAACUUGAAUCAAUUCAGGCCGGUUCCAAACACAGCAGAGGUCAGAAUGCAAAGUGGGUCAAGCCAAAGCUUUCGGACCAGGGCUGCAGAGCUGUAAUGUAAGCCAGGGCAAAUGCCCGACUUGCAGCAGAAACCCAUCCCCAAAGGAGGGGCUAUCGCUCCAUUAGCCUCUUCUGCCUCCACUGAGGGCUCCAAGCGGGACAGAGGGACCAAGUCUUAGAGUGGGCUGUGGCUGUCUGUGGCCUGCUUGCACACGGUCACCAUGUCAGCACCAAGAGAGACUCCAGGAAGCCUAGAGGACCAGUGAUAAAGACUCCAUGAGGCACAUGGGCCCCUCCUUCAGAAGGAAGCAGGAUAGGUUAGACAGAUGUCUCAGUGGGUAGAGAUACUUGCUGCCAAUCAAGAGUUCGCCACCAGAGCCCACAUGGAACUGAACUAAGACCUGAGUUCAGCUUCUAACAGCCACAUGAAGAGGCUCGCCACCACCUAUAUAUAACUUCAGCUCUGUGGGGGUCUGACACACCCUUCUGGCCUGCACUGGCAUCAGCACACACGGAUGUUGAAUCAGACAGACAGACAGACGACCAAUCUCCUUUCCUGAUGUUUGCCUUAACCUGACCUUACUGCACAUAACACAAAGAGGAGGAAGGGCCACCCUGCUCAUCUGUCCAGGGCCGUGGAAACCCAGAGAGCACCGUGGCCUGUGCCUCUUCGGGCUGGAUGUUCACACCACACCACUGAGCAGUGCAGACCAGAGCAGAGUGAGCAGAGUGGAGGCAGUGACCUGGAGGUCACAUUCACUUGCUUCCUGGCAGCCGCCCCAGCUCCAGCUGUGUUGCCUCCCUCCCUCCCUCCCCUUCCUGUCUCUCUCUUCCUUUCCUCCCCCUCAGCCUCCUUCCCACCCUUUUUUUCUUUUGCUGGCUUCUGUUCUUUCUUUCCAUGAGCAGAGAGUUUCCAGGCUUGGCCCACAGCCAGCACAUGUGGACAAAAGACUUAGAGGGAGACGUCACCUUCCAUGCUGUCCACAGGGCCGGCACAGCCUCGUUAGUAAGGCUGCUCCCCUGGCUGCUCCCAAGGUUCUGGGAAAGGGGUGCUUUUAAUCCCUUCGAUUAAAAGCAGAGGAUCUGGAUGGUUCUGGACCCCAGGCUCUGAUUCCAAUGAACCUGAGAGCUGCAGGCCUUCUGGCAAGUUCUUCCCUAUGCCCCAGGCCUCUUGGUUUUACCAGCAAGUUUGCAAGACCUUGGAAAGGAUGACGUGAGGCUGCACCUGUGGGACACUCUGGCACAUUCUGGGAGAAGUGCUCAACAAAUGUCUGCUGAGAUUUUUUAAAGUGAGCCUCACCCUGGCAAGUGAUACUAGCAUUGAUGAUGCAGGGUCCUGAAUUGAUAAGGACUGUGCACUCGACUCAUUUAGGGGGCUGAUUGUUCCCAAGUUCUCUGAAACCUAAAAUACUCUCUCACACCAGGCUGGGGGUGUAGUUCAAUGCUAGAGGGAGGACUUCCCUAACACUAACAAUGCCCUAGGAUAAAUCCCCAGCGCUAUAACACCCACCCUCCACCCUCACGCUCACACACCCACCAGCAAACUCUCAAGCAAAUGACCGAAGCGGCAACGUGAUCUGAGAACGUUUCGGUUAUUCCAAGAGCUGAGCCCCUUUCUUCUGCAGGAGAAGCAAGACACCCAGGACACGCUGACCCUCAGCCUCUGUUCGCCAGGGGUCACCGAGCCUGCUGUCUGUCCUGACCUCCCCAGCCAGAGCUAUUUUUCAGUUUCUUGUGGGCUAAGGCCCGGAUCUGUCUGUUUACUAUCUUAGCCUGGUGUUUUUGUACUCAAAAGUUUCGUAACGCCUGCGAGUAUGUUCUUCUUCACUGGCUAAAUUCUGAGAUAUGAAAAAUGGUCUUUCACCUACAAUUUAGUUAAUCUGAGGCAGCAUGAAUGGAUUUGAAAUUGACCAAUAAACUCAGUCACCAAGCAG